CCUCCUUUCUAAGGAUAUUUGAUAAUUAGUUUUCUAAUUAUCCGGGUUGUUGUCUUCGUAUCUCUUCAUAAAAUUUAGCUAGUGCUGUGUGUUUCAAUUCAUAAACUGGGCUAGUAGCUCAGUUGGUUAGAGCGCGCGCUUGAUAAGCGUGAGGUCGGAGGUUCAAGUCCUCCCUGGCCCACCAUUUUAUAGGGGGAUUAGCUCAGCUGGGAGAGCGCCUGAUUUGCAUUCAGGAGGUCGUCGGUUCGAUCCCGAUAUCCUCCACCAUGACUAGUAGAUUGUCUUAUUUUGUUCUUUAAAUAGUAAAUAUGAAACUAAUAACUGAUCAAAUGAAUAAAUUUUUAAGAUUAAAAAACGUAUAGAUUUUUCUCUGUACGUAAUUGUAAUCAAGCGCAAAGGGCAUUUAGUGGAUGCCUGGGCAUCAAGAGACGAUGAAGGACGUGGCAGGCUGCGAUAAGCUAAGGGGAGU
rnacentral:misc_RNA from 1 species